rnacentral:pre_miRNA from 1 species
CGGGGGAGGCGGGAUCCUGGGCUGUGUCCCGGCGCCCUGGGCUCCUGGCCUGCGCUGUUGGAUUCGCGCUCCCGCCCCGCAGCCCCCA